GAUGAACGCUGGCGGCGUGCCUAAUACAUGCAAGUCGAGCGGACGGACGAGACGCUUGCUUCUCGGAUGUUAGCGGAGGACGGGUGAGUAACACGUGUAUAACCUACCUAUAAUACUGGGAUAACUACGGGAAACCGGAGCUAAUACCGGAGAAUAUUUUGCACCGCAUGGUUCAAAAGUGAAAGACGGUCUUGCUGUCACUUAUAGAUGGAUCCGCGCUGCAUUAGCUAGUUGGUAAGGUAACGGGUUACCAAGGCAACGAUGCAUAGCCGACCUGAUAGGGUGAUAGGCCACACUGGAGGUGAGACGGGGUCCAGACGCCUACGAGAGGCAGCAGACGCGUAUCUGACGCAAUGGGCGAGAGCAUGACGCAGCAACGCCGCGUGAGUGAUGACGGUCUUCGGAGCGUGAUACUGUGUUUUUAGUGAAGAACAUAUGUGUCAGUAGAUGUGCACAUCUUGACGGUAACUAAUCAGAAAGCCACGGCUAACUACGUG
rnacentral:rRNA from 1 species